GUUUAGAUAGCUUAAGAAAAGCCUAGUACUGAAGCUACUAAGAUAGAAGCCUCCUUCUUUUAGACA
rnacentral:tRNA from 1 species